rnacentral:rRNA from 1 species
UACGGGAGGUGCAAGCGUUGUUCGGAGUGACUGGGCGUAAAGCGCAUGUAGGUGGGCUUGUAAGUCGAAUGUGAAAUCCCCGGGCUUAACCUGGGAACUGCAUCCGAAACUACAAGUCUUGAAUGCUUCAGAGGUUGGUAGAAUUCCAGGUGUAGCGGUGAAAUGCGUAGAUAUCUGGAGGAACACCGGUGGCGAAGGCGGCAUCCUGGACCGGCAUUGACGCUGAGGAGCGAAAGCCAGGGGGAGCAAAGCGGGG